CAAAAAAAGGCCUCCGCUAUGUACCGAUAUUGCUCCACCACCCGAGCGGCUGAGGCAGGCUGACCCUCUCGGAAGUGAGUUGCGUGCGCUCAACCCAUUUACGCCGUAAAAACUGAAGGGAACAGAAGGGACACCUUGAUGGACCCAAAACAUCAAGCUGACCCUGAGUGAGAGGAUUCAAAGCUCAAGUGACGUUUUUUGUUGUUUGUGGAGACAUGAACUAGGUCCAAGUAAACAAUGGCAGCAGGUUGAUUAGAGGGCGCAACUCACAUUCUAUUGGGAAGUUUUGUGCUUUGUUGUGCCGACACAUCAUGCCUUGCUCUUGUGGUCCAUGGAUGACAUUGUUUUGGUUUGAAGCAUCAUUGUUUUGUUAUGCAGUCAUUUAUAAUCAUAUAAAGUCAUUUUGUAUACAAAAAAAUAUUUGUUGUGCAUAAAUAAAAUACUCAUCCCCAUUCUUAUUUUGAAAUUGUAGCUCUGCAUUGAUUGUUAUGUUGUCACGCCUUGAUGUUUAGUGUUAAAAAAAAUGAUGAAAAAUCAGGGUGUAAUAGUAUAUAUCUUCUCAAAAAAUAUGGUGCAUUCAUAUUAAAUAUUUACGUCUAUCAUAAAAAAUGUACUUCUACAUAAAACGUUUUUCAUAGCAUUUUUUUAGCAAAAUACAUCUACAUGUACAUAAAAACACUAUGGAAUUGAUAGCACAAUGUUUCUCUUUUAGAGUGAAUUUGAACAUCUAUGUGACCUAUUGACAGAUACUCUGUGUGACCUAGCAAUUGCCAUAAAGGGCAUUCAUGCAUUUGUUCAAGUAACUUUGUCUGACUGUAAUGGCAAAAAAUUUGAGGUUCCACAACAUUGUGUCCUCUAUAGGCUGUAGGCUGCUGAAGUUUCAUCAUGCAAUUAGUGACCUUCUCAUUGCACUAUGCCUCAUCCUUUUCUCUUUUUUCACCUUUUGCAAACUUUGUAUUGGUCUUUGGAUCUCUUAUGACCAUGAUCAAUAGUAAUAGACAAUUUAUGCUUGUUACUUCUUGCAUUGUGGUAGGAUCCAUCAGCAUCAACAACAUCUACCAUGGAGUUAUUGAAUAGAAUGUUAACCUUUGGAUGAAUUUUCUCAUCUAGGUCAAGAGUCAUAGGUUUGGUUGCUGCUAAUGGGGCCUUUCUCAGCAGUAACAUCCAAUGCACUAACAUGCUUGAACAUCUUCUUCCAAAACUCUACGACCUGCUAGAACAUUUGUUCAUUCUUUGAGACAAAUUCAACAACCAACAUUAAGGAGAUAUAUAGUUGUCGGUAGUAGGAGGUAAUGAAACAAUUGCCAUUGUCGACUACCUUAAUACUGAUGCAUUUGCCCAACAACUCCCUCUUCACGUUCGUGCUCCAAUACAUUAGCAAGUAGUGUUUUAAGUAUUUCAUUGAUGUUUUUGCGCAUCAACACCUUUAAUGCAUGUUGGCAGAAGAUACCACUAUAUCAAAUUUCAUGCAUAAGUAUUGAAGUAUGUUUCCCUCUAUGCUGCAUGACACCUGGCUUGCCCCAACCAGAUACAUAAGCACAUUGUCAUCACAUGCAAUUUCCUCUAGUGGAGUGUUGAUAGCUUCAACAAAUU